rnacentral:misc_RNA from 1 species
GAUGAAGAACGCAGCGAAAUGCGAUAAGUAAUGUGAAUUGCAGAAUUCCGUGAAUCAUCGAAUCUUUGAACGCACAUUGCGCCCCCUGGCAUUCCGGGGGACAUGCCUGUCCGAGCGUCAUUUCUGCCCUCAAGCACGGCUUGUGUGUUGGGUGUGGUCCCCCCGGGGACCUGCCCGAAAGGCAGCGGCGACGUCCGUCUGGUCCUCGAGCGUAUGGGGCUCUGUCACUCGCUCGGGAAGGACCUGCGGGGGUUGGUCACCACCAUGUUUUACCACGGUUGACCUCGGAUCAGGUAGGAGUUACCCGCUGAACUUAAGCAUAUCAAUAAGCGGAGGA